AUGAGGGAAGCUUGCUUCCCGAUUUAGCGGCGGACGGGUGAGUAAUGCCUAGGAAUCUGCCUAUUAGUGGGGGAUAACGUUCCGAAAGGAACGCUAAUACCGCAUACGUCCUACGGGAGAAAGUGGGGGAUCUUCGGACCUCACGCUAAUAGAUGAGCCUAGGUCGGAUUAGCUAGUUGGUGGGGUAACGGCUCACCAAGGCGACGAUCCGUAGCUGGUCUGAGAGGAUGAUCAGCCACACUGGAACUGAGACACGGUCCAGACUCCUACGGGAGGCAGCAGUGGGGAAUAUUGGACAAUGGGCGAAAGCCUGAUCCAGCCAUGCCGCGUGUGUGAAGAAGGUCUUCGGAUUGUAAAGCACUUUAAGUUGGGAGGAAGGGUUGUAAGCUAAUAUCUUGCAGCUUUGACGUUACCAACAGAAUAA
rnacentral:rRNA from 1 species